rnacentral:rRNA from 1 species
UACGAAGGGGGCUAGCGUUGUUCGGAAUUACUGGGCGUAAAGCGCACGUAGGCGGAUAUUUAAGUCAGGGGUGAAAUCCCAGAGCUCAACUCUGGAACUGCCUUUGAUACUGGGUAUCUCGAGUAUGGAAGAGGUGAGUGGAAUUCCGAGUGUAGAGGUGAAAUUCGUAGAUAUUCGGAGGAACACCAGUGGCGAAGGCGGCUCACUG